AAAUUGAAGAGUUUGAUCAUGGCUCAGAUUGAACGCUGGCGGCAGGCCUAACACAUGCAAGUCGAACGGUAACAGGAAGCAGCUUGCUGCUUUGCUGACGAGUGGCGGACGGGUGAGUAAUGUCUGGGAAACUGCCUGAUGGAGGGGGAUAACUACUGGAAACGGUGGCUAAUACCGCAUAACGUCGCAAGACCAAAGAGGGGGACCUUCGGGCCUCUUGCCAUCAGAUGUGCCCAGAUGGGAUUAGCUUGUUGGUGAGGUAACGGCUCACCAAGGCGACGAUCCCUAGCUGGUCUGAGAGGAUGACCAGCCACACUGGAACUGAGACACGGUCCAGACUCCUACGGGAGGCAGCAGUGGGGAAUAUUACACAAUGGGCGCAAGCCUGAUGCAGCCAUGCCGCGUGUAUGAAGAAGGCCUUCGGGUUGUAAAGUACUUUCAGCGGGGAGGAAGGUGUUG
rnacentral:rRNA from 1 species